rnacentral:rRNA from 1 species
CCUACGGGUGGCAGCAGUAGGGAAUCUUUCACAAUGGGCGAAACCCUGAUGGAGCAACGCCGCGUGCAGGAUGAAGGCCUUCGGGUUGUAAACUGCUUUUAUAAGCGAGAAAUAUGAUGGUAUCUUAUGAAUAAGGAUCGGAUAACUACGUGCCAGCAGCCGCGGUCAUACGUAGGAGCCGAGCAUUAUCCGGAGUGACUGGGUGUAAAGAGGUGCGUAGGGGGCAUAAUAAGUAGCUAGUGAAAUCUGGUGGCUCAACCAUUCAGACUAUUAGCUAAACUGUUAAGCGCGAGACCGUUAGGGGUAACUAGAAUUUCUAGGGUAGGAGUGAAAUCCGUAGAUAUUAGAAGGAGCACCAAGAGCGUAGGCAGGUUACUGGGACGGUUCUGACACUAAGGCACGAAAGCGGAGGGAGCAAACGGGAUUAGAUACCCCUGGAGUC